rnacentral:ncRNA from 2 species
AAAAAAUUUUUCUUUCUGAUUUUUAUCAUUUACCUUUGAACCGUUCUUUAGAUAGGGAACCUCGUGUAAUCCGAGGACAGUACCCGCUGCUGUAAAGCUUGCCCAACAGGGUUAUCUUCCGUAAGCCACUGCCAAUUAGGUGGGAAGGCGAGAGAUAUAAAAGCUGAGUCAGAAAACCUGCUUGGAACAAAACUUUAUU